rnacentral:rRNA from 1 species
ACGUAGGUGGCAAGCGUUGUCCGGAUUUACUGGGCGUAAAGCGUGCGCAGGCGGUUUUGUAAGCCAGAUGUGAAAUCCCCGGGCUUAACCUGGGAAUGGCAUUUGGGACUGCAAGGCUAGAGUACGGCAGAGGAGACUAGAAUUCCUGGUGUAGCAGUGAAAUGCGUAGAUAUCAGGAGGAAUACCGGAGGCGAAGGCGGAUAGCUGGGCCAACACUGACACUGAGACCCGAAAGCGUGGGGAUCAAACAGGA